GACGCGAACUGGUUCUUCAUGUUGGAGGGAGGAGUUGUUGCAGUAGGUGAUCGAUGACGUCAAAGUACCGCGAGAGCGAGUUGAGGAAUCACACGUAGAGGUCUAAUUUCGAAUCGCUCUCGCGGUACUUUGACAUCAUCCGUCUGUCGAUUCUUGCAGCGCCGCAUGAAGUCAAACACGCGUAAAAUUGCUGACCUCCGAGCACUCGUCUCUGCUCCUCGACAUAAUGGAGCAGCUGUAUUUGCAAAUACAAACACACGAAACGAGUUUGCACGAACAUAAGUGUGAUCUUGGAAGCAUUCAGAGUAGCAGUCACAUGUAAACAUGGGUCGCACCUUUGACGUAGGUGCGAGCUCUGGCGCAUAGUCUGUGACGUUGCCUGCUUAAACAUCCGUUUGACUCACUUUACAUGCAACCGUGCAACCGAAGAUUUUCAAGAUCUCCACUCUGGCCAGAGUUUUUAGAAACAAUCGGUUUCAGAGGCGAGUUCUCCGUUUGCGUGUAAACGAGGGGUACAAACGAAGAUUGAGGAAUUCUAAGAAGCUGGAGGUCUAACUUUAAAAGAUGAAUGAGGGGAAGAGUUUUAAAUGAUGCCCCAGGUCACUAAAGUCCCGAGGAAAUGCAUUUUAAAGCCUGCUUGGAAGUUUGCUGAGGCCUCCUGGUUGAGAAACACCGCACUACAACUCCUCACAAGGAGACAAACGACUUCCUCUGAGAAAACAGCACAAUUACCGUAAUGAGCUGCAGUGUUGGGGGUAACGCAUAAUACAAGUAACGUGCAUUACGUAAUAAUAUUACUUUUCUGAAGUAACAAGUAAAGUAACGCAUUACUUUAUAAAUGUACACAUUAAUAUUUGAGUUACUUUUUUAAAAAAGUAAUGCAAGUUUAGUUUAAUUAAUUCAAUAUAAAAACAUUAUGUACUGAAUUAAACUAAACAUAGUCACAUUAUGCACUCUAUGCGUACAUGCCUUUGUGGGAACAGUUUGAGAUGGCAGGCCAGAGCUCGACAUUUUUGUGAUGAAAUAUGCAAUUUCUGACUUCUUUUCAGUCAUAAAAACACCUGCAAGGCCUGAAAGAGAUCAAGCCUCAGCCAAGAAAAAGUAAUGUAAAAGUAAUGUAAGCAUUACUUUCCAUAAAAAGUACACUGUA